rnacentral:rRNA from 1 species
UGCUGGAGCGAAUAGAAGUGAGCAUGCAGGCAUGAGUAGCGAUAAUUAAUGUGAGAAUCAUUAACGCCGUAAACCCAAGGUUUCCUACGCGAUGCUCGUCAUCGUAGGGUUAGUCGGGUCCUAAGUCGAGUCCGAAAGGGGUAGACGAUGGCAAAUUGGUUAAUAUUCCAAUACCAACAUUAGUGUGCGAUGGAAGGACGCUUAGGGCUAAGGGGGCUAGCGGAUGGAAGUGCUAGUCUAAGGUCGUAGGAGGUUAUACAGGCAAAUCCGUAUAACAAUACUCCGAGAACUGAAAGGCUUUUUGAAGUCUUCGGAUGGAUAGAAGAACCCCUGAUGCCGUCGAGCCAAGAAAAGUUUCUAAGUUUAGCUAAUGUUGCCCGUACCGUAAACCGACACAGGUGGGUGGGAUGAGUAUUCUAAGGCGCGUGGAAGAACUCUCUUUAAGGAACUCUGCAAAAUAGCACCGUAUCU